rnacentral:rRNA from 1 species
GACGAACGCUGGCGGCGCGCUUAACACAUGCAAGUCGAACGGAAAGGCCUGCUUUCCCUUGUGGAUUGCGGGUACUCGAGUGGCGAACGGGUGAGUAACACGUGAGUGAUCUGCCCCCAACUUGGGUAUAAGCCUGGGAAACUGGGUCUAAUUCCCGAUAGGACUGCAGGGUGGUGCCUGUGGUGGAAAACGAUUUUCUAGUGGUUGGGGAUGAGCUCGCGGCCUAUCAGCUUGUUGGUGGGGUAAUGGCCUACCAAGGCGGCGACGGGUAGCCGGCCUGAGAGGGUGGACGGCCACAUUGGGACUGAGAUACGGCCCAGACUCCUACGGGAGGCAGCAGUGGGGAAUAUUGCGCAAGGGGCGGAAGCCUGAUGCAGCGACGCCGCGUGGGGGAUGACGGCCUUCGGGUUGUAAACUCCUUUCGACCGCGAGGAAGCCACCUGGUUGGAAGGGUGGUGACGGUAGUGGUAGAAGAAGCACCGGCUAACUACGUG